CAAAAAUGGCGUAUUCCUCUUGUCCGGGUUUUGAACAUUCUCUUCUUCUGUAGACUGUAGUAUCCUUCCCAUAAACGUCAGGGUUUUAGCUUCCUCUGCAGUUUUACUCUCUAACAAACAUGGAUUCUAUUGCUAAAUUGCACUUUCCUUCUCAACCCUCUCAUUUCUCCCUUAAUCCCCACCGUCCAUCCUUCUCCAAACCCAUAUUUUCCCUUUCCUUCAGAACCCCUCCUCCGCUAUCAUCAUCAUCACCACCGUUCAAUUUUUCCUCCAUUAGAGUCUCAUCUUCUCGCGCUUCACUCUAUAAAACAUCGCAAACCCCUCAACCUUCUCUUCUUCAAACCCUAAACCCUCUCCUCAAAACCACUUGCAUCACUCUCACUUGCGCUGCUGCAAUCCUCUUCUUGCGACUCCAGGCUAAACCAGCAAUUGCUGCCCCGGUUGCCGAGCCGGCCACGGUUGAACCCACCAAGGAAUCAUCGAAGGAAAAUGUAUCAUAUGAAGAACAAGAACGAGACCUUGAGCAGCAUUUGGCUCGACAUCCUGAUGAUACUGAAGCUCUACGAUCUCUCAUGGAGGUGAGGAUCAAAGCCCGGAAGCUUCUUGGAGCAAUCGAAGUCGUGGACCGCUUAAUCGAGCUGGAGCCCAAUGAGGAUGAGUGGCCGUUGCUAAAACCUCAAAUUUAUAGCUACAGUGGAGAAUUUGAAUUGGCGAGAAAGGGAUUCGAGGAAAUACUAGAGAAAGAUCCUCUUCGGGUGGAGGCUUAUCACGGUCUAGUGAUGGUGCAUUUUGAAUCCGGGGAUUCAUUGAAUCAGGUGAUAAAAAGAAUUGAAGCAGCGAUGGAUAAAUGCAAGAAAGAGAAGAAAGAAUCUGACUUGAGGGAUUUUAAGUUAUUAAUUGCACAAAUUAGAGUGAUGGAGGAGAAAUAUGUGGAUGCUUUGAAGGUUUAUGAGGAGUUGGUUAAGGAGGAGCCAAGGGAUUUUAGGCCAUACUUGUGUCAGGGAAUUAUAUAUACUCUGUUGAGGAAGAAAGAUGAGGCGGAGAAAAAAUUUGAGCAGUUUAGGAAGCUUGUGCCUAAGAAUCACCCUUACAGGGAGUUUUUCCUUGAUAACAUGUUUUCAACAAAGUUCUUCCCGGAGAAGGUCCAAAGGGAGGGAGCAGGGUCGAGUAUUUGAGAGAAAUGGGAAAAUAAAUUUAGAGAGCCCACCGCAGGAGUUUGAAAUCUAGUGCCUCUGCUCUUCCUGGUCAAAGGUUUGGAUGAUCUGGCUUCACAAGAUGCUAAUUAUUGUACAAGUGGAAACCUCAAAAGAGAGAGAACUUUAUUUGUUGCUGGUCUUGCCUUUCCAUGAAUCCCACAUUAAUUUCAGUUUCUGAAAAUUUAUUCAGUUGUCUGCAGCUGAGGUUAUUUAUUGAUUUGAUCAGUUUCAUUGUAUGGUAAGCAUCACAUUUAAGGCAUCUGCAUUCUUCUUAUGGAGACAGUAUUCUUAUAUAUUAACUCGAAUGGUGAAUUUGCAUGAUAA